rfam:Schistosoma curassoni strain Dakar, Senegal genome assembly, scaffold: SCTD_scaffold0007542
AUCCAUCUGACGAGUCCCGAAUAGGACGAAACGUGCGUCCUGGAU